rnacentral:miRNA from 1 species
CCAGAGUGUGUGUGGGGUGUGUGUGUGUGUGUGUGUGUGUGUGUGUGUGUGGCCAGGCAUACUCACUAACCACA